UGGACACUGCUGCUCUGCUGAGCACACAGUCUUAUUUCAAAGAGUAGGCAUCAUCUUUCAAUCAGUCAUAUUUCAAAAAUCCGCGCUUCCUCCAAGAAGCACAGACUGCUGUACUUUGUUAUAUUUAUCUGCCCAACAACUCUGUGAGCCUAGCAAGCAUCCUGCCGUUUGCCUGCGGGCUUCUGUCUGACAGAAUGCUCUAGCCGCUCACUUCUUACUGUAUUCCACACUGAAAGAUCAGUUGCUGCUCCUGUACAUUAGGCAGAAAUCCUGUGAAAUCAUCCUAACACAUGAAAGGUCAGUUCACACAUACACAUUUGUCACUGUAUUGACCUUGGCCCUCUUCACAUGUUGCUUCUGUUUCCCCUUCAGAAGGCUGAUGUUUCAUGAACUCCUGAGUGAUUAUGAAUGAGUCAUCGCAGAUUAAUCAUCACUUAUUAGAACUUGUACUUCACCCA